AUUGAACGCUGGCGGCAGGCCUAACACAUGCAAGUCGAACGAGUGGCGGACGGGUGAGUAAUGUCUGGGAAACUGCCUGAUGGAGGGGGAUAACUACUGGAAACGGUAGCUAAUACCGCAUACCAUCAGAUGUGCCCAGAUGGGUUUAGCUAGUGGGUGGGGUAACGGCUCACCAAGGCGACGAUCCCUAGCGGGUCUGAGAGGAUGACCGGCCACACUGGAACUGAGCCACGGCCCAGACUCCUACGGGAGGAAGCAGUGGGGAAUAUUGCACAAUGGGCGCAAGCCUGAUGCAGCCAUGCCGCGGAUAGGAAGAAGGCCUUCGGGUUGUAAAGUACGUUCAGCGGGGAGGCGUUACCCGCUGAAGAAGCACCGGCUAACUCCGUGCCAGCAGCCGCGGUAAUUC
rnacentral:rRNA from 1 species